rnacentral:lncRNA from 1 species
AACAAGUAAAAGAUAUGGAUGAACAAAUUCUAAGGAAUUCAUAGAGCUUUCUAUGAAAAUUAUAACAUCUUGCACUUUGAGCACGAAACUUCAUACUGAAACUCAUGUAGCGAGUGUUAGGCCAAUGACUCCCAAGCUAGAUAGCUUUAGGGUAUUAAAUGUAAAAUACUCCGAGGGCUUAAUAACACGAGUUGAAAAGGCUUCGAAAUUAGUUUUUUUUUUUUUUUUUUUU